CUGGCAGAACCGAGCCGGGCAGAACCGAGCCGGGCAGAACCGAGCCGGACAGAACCGAGCCGGGCAGAACCGAGCCUGGGUGCCGUCAGGUGGGUCUGUGCAGCUGUGCAUGUUGAGCAGCAGAGUGACUGACAGGCCCAGCCGGCGCCGCUCUAGUGUUGGUCUCAGUAAUGAGUCUUUCAGCUCAUCUGCUCCACAAAGCGGAGAUGAGAAUCAGUUGAGAAUCAGUUGAGCAUCGUCCAGCGGAGGAGAGAGCGCCCCCUACUGCAGGAGCAGCAAGUGUUUCACACAAACACGCUUCUAACGGCCCAAAUUCACACCAGAUGUCGGAACAACCCCAGUGAUCCUCUUCACGUGUGAAUCAGGGAAAACGAUACGCGAGCCUCAUGUGGAGCCAACAAGAAAACAACAUGGACGGGAAGUCAACAGCAAAACACUUUGUCUUUUCCAGCAGCCAUUGUACAACGCAGACAGAACCACACCGUCCUGGAGCUCGGCUGCUAGCGGCUGCUAGCUAACCACAAAGGAAGGUCUUAAAAAAGAGAGAAGAAAAAAGUGAAGGACAAAAAGGGAAUAAAAGUCAACUGGGAAAAAGAAGCAAA